rnacentral:rRNA from 1 species
GAUGAACGCUAGCGGCAGGCUUAAUACAUGCAAGUCGAGGGGCAGCAUGAUUGUAGCAAUACAAUUGAUGGCGACCGGCAAACGGGUGCGGAACACGUACACAACCUUCCAAUAAGUGGGGAAUAGCCCAGAGAAAUUUGGAUUAAUACCCCGUAACAUAACGAUGUGGCAUCACAUUGUUAUUAUAGAUUUUUCGCUUAUUGAUGGGUGUGCGGCUGAUUAGAUAGUUGGCGGGGUAACGGCCCACCAAGUCUACGAUCAGUAGCUGAUGUGAGAGCAUGAUCAGCCACACGGGCACUGAGACACGGGCCCGACUCCUACGGGAGGCAGCAGUAAGGAAUAUUGGACAAUGGACGCAAGUCUGAUCCAGCCAUGCCGCGUGAAGGAUUAAGGUCCUCUGGAUUGUGAACUUCUUUUAUAAGGGACGAAAAAAGGCUUUUCUAAGUCGUCUGACGGUACCUUAUGAAUAAGCACCGGCUAACUCCGUGCCAGCAGCCGCAGUAAUAC